UACGGAGGGGGCUAGCGUUGUUCGGAUUUACUGGGCGUAAAGGGCGCGUAGGCGGCGUGUUAAGUCAGCUGUGAAAUCUCCAAGCUUAACUUGGAACGGUCAGCUGAUACUGAUGUGCUAGAGUGCAGAAGGGGCAAUCGGAAUUCUUGGUGUAGCGGUGAAAUGCGUAGAUAUCAAGAGGAACACCUGAGGUGAAGACGGGUUGCUGGGCUGACACUGACGCUGAGGCGCGAAAGCUAGGGUAGCAAACGGG
rnacentral:rRNA from 1 species